UACGGAGGAUCCGAGCGUUAUCCGGAUUUACUGGGUGUAAAGGGAGCGUAGACGGCGAUGCAAGUCUGAAGUGAAAGGCGGGGGCCCAACCCCCGGACUGCUUUGGAAACUGUAUAGCUGGAGUGCAGGAGAGGUAAGUGGAAUUCCUAGUGUAGCGGUGAAAUGCGUAGAUAUUAGGAGGAACACCAGUGGCGAAGGCGGCCUGCUGGACGAUGACUGACGUUGAGGCUCGAAAGCGUGGGGAGCAAACAGG
rnacentral:rRNA from 1 species